rnacentral:rRNA from 1 species
UUGAACGCUGGCGGCAGGCCUAACACAUGCAAGUCGAGCGGCAGCGCGGGGCAACCUGGCGGCGAGCGGCGGACGGGUGAGUAACGCGUAGGAAUCUACCCAGUAGCGGGGGAUAGACCGGGGAAACUCGGAUUAAUACCGCAUACGCCCUAAGGGGGAAAGCAGGGGAUCGUAAGACCUUGCACUAUUGGACGAGUCUGCGUUGGAUUAGCUAGUUGGUAGGGUAAAGGCCUACCAAGGCGACGAUCCAUAACUGGUCUGAGAGGAUGAUCAGUCACACCGGAACUGAGACACGGUCCGGACUCCUACGGGAGGCAGCAGUGGGGAAUAUUGGACAAUGGGGGCAACCCUGAUCCAGCCAUGCCGCGUGUGUGAAGAGGGCCUUCGGGUUGUAAAGCACUUUAAGUGGGGAGAAAGGUUCGGCAGCUAAUACCUGCCGGAAGUGAUGUUACCCACAGAAUAAGCACCGGCUAACUCUGUGCCAGCCGCCGCAGUAA